rnacentral:lncRNA from 1 species
UCGUCACGAAAUCACGAAGAUCAUUUUUAGAUUUCACGAGUCAUGAAAAACAAAAUUUCAUUUUCACGAUUUUUAGAAACACAGAAGCGUAACAAAGUCUGAAACCAUUUAACGAUUUUCUAGACAGCAGAAAUCGAUGUUAACACAAACACAUUUUGCUGACUUUAACAUUAGAGCUUUUAAAGGAGUAUGGAAAUCAUUGCGAGGCAUUACGAAACAUUACGAGCGUCUUACGAUGGUUCACGAAAUCUAUGAAGAGGUACGAAGGUAUACGACAACGACGUUUACGAUGAAACCUCAAGAAAGACAACCGCGGGAAGCAAAUUUAUUCAUUUUUU